AGUGAACGCUGGCGGUAGGCCUAACACAUGCAAGUCGAACGGCAGCACAGUAAGAGCUUGCUCUUACGGGUGGCGAGUGGCGGACGGGUGAGGAAUACAUCGGAAUCUACUUUUUCGUGGGGGAUAACGUAGGGAAACUUACGCUAAUACCGCAUACGACCUACGGGUGAAAGCAGGGGAUAUUCGGACCUUGCGCGAUUGAAUGAGCCGAUGUCGGAUUAGCUAGUUGGCGGGGUAAAGGCCCACCAAGGCGACGAUCCGUAGCUGGUGUGAGAGGAUGAUCAGCCACACUGGAACUGAGACACGGUCCAGACUCCUACGGGAGGCAGCAGUGGGGAAUAUUGGACAAUGGGCGCAAGCCUGAUCCAGCCAUACCGCGUGGGUGAAGAAGGCCUUCGGGUUGUAAAGCCCUUUUGUUGGGAAAGAAAAGCAGCAGGUUAAUACCCCGCUGUUCUGACGGUACCCAAAGAAUAAGCACCGGCUAACUUCGUG
rnacentral:rRNA from 1 species